AGCCCAGAACCCAGAGCAUAAUCUGAUGCUCCUCUGGGCAGUAAGAGAUACUUAUCUGAACGCUGCCCAGUUGUGGAGAGAGCCAGCAACAGGCUGCUCAGCUUCCUGAGUGAGGAAGGGUUAAGAGGGAACAGUGCUGGGAAACACAUCUGCAAACACAUAUCUGCAGAGAGGCAGAAGCAGAGAUGAUUUUUUGGAGCAAAGAUACCUCCUCAGCAUUGAAUAUGAUUGCUGUGCUAGAAGUAUUUCUGUUUGGGAACCUAGCACGCCACUCAUCGAUGGACUUGAUUUAAAAAAUGGAUACUCCUCCAGUUUGUCUCUCUGAUACUGCGACCUUGAGACAAGUCAUUUCUCUAAUGCGGCUGUGCAAACACCAUGUGUUCCUAUGUGGAAAGAAGUGGAGAUGGCCAGGAGCAACAGGGCACAGUAAAUAAUAUCCGGAAACAUCUCCUGACUCUCCUGUUUUAUGUUCUAUGAGAUUCUGCUUUGUUCCAAUCCAAAAUGAAUCUAUUUCCAGGGACUAGAGAACAGGCAUAUUAGAGUUGCAAGAAAUAAAUCUUGGAACCAGCUCUGCUAAAUGACUCAUAUCUCUGCUGCCAUCUUGAGUAAGAGGAAAGCCUGAGCAUCUGAUCAACAUUUUGCUGUUUGACUGAACUGCUCAAAGUGGAUUUUGUUAAAUUAGCCAAGUCAAACUAAUACCUGAUGUGCAAUGUGUUGUGAAGCUUCUGUUUGCACCAGGAAGGGUUACCAUGUUCAGCAGUGCUUCGGGGUAUCCGUGGCUGAACGAUGAAUGUCCUUUUGCUGGUACAAGUUAAUAGCAAAUGAGAUGUACUGUUCAGUGCUCCACCUUCAUUGUCUCUGUUUCUCCAGCAAAGGAAGUAUCUUCCUGCACAAUGGGCGAUAUUAUCCCAUCUCCAGCACUGGGACUCGAAGAAGGUUGUACAACUAAUGUCAUCCCUCCUGUAGACACUGAACUGCAAGUCAAACUGAAGACAGCACAUGUCCUGACUCAGGCUGUGUUCACCACAUCAGGAUGUGACUCACUGGCCUGGUCAUUGGCCCUGCUCCAGAAAUUUGCUCUCUCUCUCUCUGAACAACCCCAAACUUGAUGAGUUUGGACUCUGAAGGAUCUCUGUCAUGUCAGGAGGACUUUGAGCUAGAGCUGAGCUGCUACUACUGAAGUGUGGGUUUCUGGCAGGGGAUGAAAGGAGCAUUAAUGCAAAACUGCCAUCGAGCUAAAGCCAAGAUUUAGUGAGGGUUUUGGCUAACUGUUUUUUGGGACAUGUUGCUACUUGAUCAUUUGCCAUUAGAUUAAAUGGGAGUGCUAUUACCUGAGGGUGGCGUGACCUUCUGAGAGCUACAGCAUUAAGCAAAUGGCUUGAGAGGAGACUGAGCAGAGUGCUGUGCUGCGCCGAGCCCCAUGUCCCUGAGUGAGUCUGAGCCACUACAGGAAAAGAAGGCAACUUUUAGGAGACUCUUUGGCUCCGAGCAAUUCCUCAGCAAUCCCCCUGCUGACCUCGCAUGUAGCGAGGGGAAGAGCAAUCCGCCUUGUGUGCAUGGUCAUGUGUAAGAAAACCCAAACCCUGUCUCAGUAAUUGUCCCUUUCCAUUGCACAGAAGGGAGAAAAAUGCCAGAGAUGAUAAUAAGAACUGAAAUGAGCAGUCGGUGUGGUCCCAGAAAGCAGAGAGCCAG
ensembl:lncRNA